rnacentral:rRNA from 1 species
GACGAACGCUGGCGGCGUGCUUAACACAUGCAAGUCGAACGGUAAGGCCCUUUCGGGGGUACACGAGUGGCGAACGGGUGAGUAACACGUGGGUGAUCUGCCCUGCACUUUGGGAUAAGCCUGGGAAACUGGGUCUAAUACCGGAUAGGACUACGCGAUGCAUGUCGUGUGGUGGAAAGCUUUUGCGGUGUGGGAUGGGCCCGCGGCCUAUCAGCUUGUUGGUGGGGUGAUGGCCUACCAAGGCGACGACGGGUAGCCGGCCUGAGAGGGUGUCCGGCCACACUGGGACUGAGAUACGGCCCAGACUCCUACGGGAGGCAGCAGUGGGGAAUAUUGCACAAUGGGCGCAAGCCUGAAGCAGCGACGCCGCGUGGGGGAUGACGGCCUUCGGGUUGUAAACCCCUUUCAGCACAGACGAAGCGUAAGUGACGGUAUGUGCAGAAGAAGCACCGGCCAACUACGUG